rnacentral:rRNA from 1 species
GAUGAGUAGAGUGGCGCACGGGUGAGAAACACGUGGGUAAUCUGCCCAGAAGUGGGGAAUAACUCCUCGAAAGAGGAGCUAAUACCGCAUAAGACCACGACAACUAAGGUUGUUGUGAUUAAAGGUGACCUCUGUUUACAAGUUAUCGUUUCUGGAUGAGCCUGCGCAACAUUAGCUAGUUGGUGGGGUAAUGGCCUACCAAGGCUACGAUGUUUAGCUGGUCUGAGAGGAUGAUCAGCCACACUGGAACUGAGACACGGUCCAGACUCCUACGGGAGGCAGCAGUAGGGAAUAUUGCUCAAUGGGGGAAACCCUGAAGCAGCAACGCCGCGUGAGUGAUGAAGGCCUUCGGGUCGUAAAGCUCUGUUGUACGGGGAGAACGUAGGUAUGGCUAACAUCCAUAUCUAGUGACGGUACCGUAUAAGAAAGGGACGGCUAACUUCGUGCCAGCAGCCGCGGUAAGACGGGGGUCCCUAGCGUUGUUCGGAAUUAUUGGGCGUAAAGCGUGUGCAGGUGGCUUUAAAAGUUAGAUGUGAAAGCCCCGGGCUUAACCCGGGAAGUGCAUUUAAAACUAUAGAGCUUGAGUAUGGAAGAGGGUCGUGGAAUUCCAGGUGUAGUGGUGAAAUACGUAGAUAUCUGGAGGAACACCGGCGGCGAAGGCGGCGACCUGGUCCAAUACUGACACUCAUACACGAAAGCGUGGGGAUCAAACAGGAUUAGAUACCCUGGUAGUCC